rnacentral:rRNA from 1 species
UACGUAGGGGGCAAGCGUUAUCCAGAUUUACUGGGCGUAAAGCGCGUGUAGGCGGCUGGUUAGGCGUGAUGUGAAAUCUUCCGGCUCAACCGGAAAACUGCAUUGCGAACCGGCCUGGCUAGAGUGCAGGAGAGGGAAGCGGAAUUCCAGGUGUAGCGGUGAAAUGCGUAGAUAUCUGGAGGAACACCGGUGGCGAAGGCGGCAUCCUGGACCGGCAUUGACGCUGAGGAGCGAAAGCCAGGGGAGCAAACGGG